rnacentral:lncRNA from 1 species
UCCGGUCCAGACCCCAUUAAUUGGACAAAGCGAAAAGCGGCUGAAGCACGGAUCUACUCGAAUAGCUACUUCGACAAAACAAGCGUUCGCCAACAUUUCUACCACAGUUCGUCCACCCAUCCUUCAAUGCCCGUUUGUUUGUGCAUCCCAGCAAUUACAUGUGUGAAGCUUGGUGUCGCCAUCUACAUGAAUACAAAAGACGAGCUCGUGUGCUGUGCCGACUGCGCUGCACUGAUAUUGUUCGGGGCUCGACAUUUUAGAGACUCAUAAAGGAGCGAAAACGAGUUGGAUACAGGCGCUGACCCAUGGGUCGUCAGCGCAUGCCAGCACCGACGGCCUCGCCCUUUUUCUCCAUCUAGCUUUCCAGCGUUAUGGACGUUGUCGCAUGUUGACAAAUCCUUCAAUCCGUAACAGAAAGCUGGUCGGAAUUAAUGCCCCUUUGUAAUUAUGUUUCUGUUUGGUAGCUGACGGGGCGCAGUGUUUUCAGUUUUUGCUCGUUCAUCGCCAUUCGGUAAACACAAUGUAAUAUCAUCCUAUUCUCACUGUAGCAUCCCGCCUGGCCUUGCCCCUUCCCCGUCGGAACGUCGCACCCUGACCACUGCGCGUAACUAUCGCUUAGUACGGGAGAAUAGCGCCGACUGGUCCACCGACAAAAACAAAUGGUGAUGCAAAUAGAUACAGCCUGUAGGCAGUGCGGUUUCGUAAGUAACGGACGCGAUGGAGACAAUGCGUUGACAAACAGUCGAUAAUAGGGCUAGAAGCGAACGCCAACCAGCUCAGGUCAAUUACCUCGAAUUACGGAAUAUAGCGGUCCACAGAGAUGCUGCACGGAUAUUUAACGGGAAAAGUAACGCCUAUAACGGAUGUACGCGUUGGAUUGGAUUACCUACUCCAUUUAGGGGAUGUUGGAGACCCGACGGAACUUUUGCGUCUGCUAGCAAAAAAAAACGCGGCGAAAGAAGGACACGUGUAUAUCGUACCAUCGUAAUCAAUAUGUAGAUCUACAAUAUCAGGCUGCAAUGCUAUCAUUUGUGGCCCAUCGUUUUAAAAUAAUCCGUACGUAAUAGGGGCUGGAUUUUUCUGGCCAGCAGCGUAACUUUCGUAGAAAAUGGAAAAACGCCGUUGAGGGUGUCAAGACAUUCGCUUGGUCGUCUUGGUUCCCCGAACGUCAUUUCCACAACUGUUUUUGUUAGACGUAUAUUUUUUCCAUAAAAAAUUCAAGCGAUCCUAAACGGGUUCUGAACAAUAAUGCGCAAUGCAAACAAACGCUCGAAACGUCCGAACUGUGGCUUGGAUCCACUGGAAGAAGGAGCCUUUAGAGACAUUUACGACUUCACUAGCCAUAUGUUUAUUAAUCAGAAGUUGGAAAAUUUUGUAAAAACGAGGCCGUUUAGGUACAAUUUCCCAAGGCGCAACGGAUACAAAUAGCCAUAGAUUUACUAUACUACACAUAGGUAAUAUAUGUACAAAGCACACAGAAGCGCUGGUUACUUUACGACGUCGGCACAUUAUGAACAUGUUGAAUAACCACGAGCAGAAGCGAUUGUCUAAAUCAAAUUUACGACUCAGACAUAGGAAACGCGAAACUAAUGUUUUUAUGGUUUAGAAUGCAUUCUGCUGUGAUCCUUCUGAUACCUUUCUCUGAUACCCUUUGAUACGUUGGCGGCAACAACAAUGAAAGGAAGCGACUCCGUUAUUGUAGGACGUCCCACCAAAAAGGACUGAUAAUGUUGAUAUACGUGGCGUUUGUCGAGGAGAGCUAGCAGGCGCCUUUAUGGCAGUGGCGGUGGAAGGCGCCAGCGACAGCGGU